rnacentral:rRNA from 1 species
AGAGUUUGAUCAUGGCUCAGAGCGAACGCUGGCGGCGUGCUUAACACAUGCAAGUCGUGGGAGAAAAGGGAGCUUCGGUUCUCUGAGUAAACCGGCGCACGGGUGAGUAACACGUAGGUAACCUACCUGUGAGACCUGGAUAACCUGUCGAAAGAUAGGCUAAUACUGGAUAAGACCACGGAGGUUUCGGCUUCUGAGGUAAAAGGUGGCCUCUAUUUAUAAGCUACCACUCGCAGAUGGGCCUGCGCGCCAUUAGCUAGUUGGUGAGGUAACGGCUCACCAAGGCGACGAUGGCUAGUUGGUCUGAGAGGAUGACCAGCCACACUGGGACUGAGACACGGCCCAGACUCCUACGGGAGGCAGCAGUGGGGAAUAUUGCGCAAUGGGGGAAACCCUGACGCAGCGACGCCGCGUGGGUGAUGAAGGCCUUCGGGUCGUAAAGCCCUGUCGGAGGGGAAGAACGAUUGCCGGGUGAAUAAUCCGGUGGUCUGACGGUACCCUUAGAGGAAGCACCGGCUAACUCCGUGCCAGCAGCCGCGGUAAUACGGAGGGUGCAAGCGUUGCUCGGAAUUACUGGGCGUAAAGGGCGUGUAGGCGGUCUCGUAUGUCUGUCGUGAAAGCCCCGGGCUUACCCCGGGAAGUGCGUUGGAAACUGCGAGACUAGAGUCCCGGAGAGGAAGGUGGAAUUCCAGGUGUAGCGGUGAAAUGCGUAGAUAUCUGGAAGAACACCGGUGGCGAAGGCGGCCUUCUGGACGGUGACUGACGCUGAGACGCGAAAGCGUGGGGAGCAAACAGGAUUAGAUACCCUAGUAGUCC